UACGUAGGGCGCAAGCGUUGUCCGGAAUUAUUGGGCGUAAAGAGCUCGUAGGCGGCUUGUCACGUCUGGUGUGAAAGCCCGGGGCUUAACCCCGGGUCUGCAUUCGAUACGGGCUAGCUAGAGUGUGGUAGGGGAGAUCGGAAUUCCUGGUGUAGCGGUGAAAUGCGCAGAUAUCAGGAGGAACACCGGUGGCGAAGGCGGAUCUCUGGGCCAUUACUGACGCUGAGGAGCGAAAGCGUGGGGAGCGAACAGG
rnacentral:rRNA from 1 species